rnacentral:lncRNA from 1 species
CCAGGUCUCCAGGACGGGUGACGUGCCCUCCAGCCACCGAAGGCCGGCGGGAGGCUGCGCUCGGAGGGACAUGACAUGGUCUGGUGUGACGGUGAGGAGGGACGUGAUGCCGUCCGGCCUUCCUGAACAUUCUAGGCUGGCCCGCGGGUGUCAGAACACCUAUAGGUCUCACUCCUUGGCCUUCCUGGAGGAGUCCACACACUGCUGCUCUCUGGACCUCUAGAACCCUCACAUCGACAAGAAAUGGUGCUACCCAGCUCAUGCCUGGGCCUUGGAACCGGGACUUCUUCAAGUCCUUCUAGCUCUGACUCGAGAACAUGCUGCAUUCUGGAACCACUUCACGACCCGACUCAGGAAUCGGCUCCGGAAGGUGAAGCUCAAGGAGCAAGAGCAGCCAGACAGCACCACCGUCGGCACGAGCCCGCGGCGACCGUCACCCCCCGCCUGGCAGCGUCAUCUCUGUGGCCACCCUGCCGUGGCCGGGCCACCACCAGCCGCCACGCCCCAACGCCCCUCACCCUCCUUCUCUUCUUCCUUUCCUCUGUUCUCUCAUUUCUUUUCUUUGCUUUCCUUUGUGCCCGGGACACGCAAAGCCGCCAUGACUCUGUUUCCCCGUCCCUUCCGUACUCAAUUUGCACUAAGUCGUUUGCACUGGUUUGGAGUCAUGGAACCGGCCUCGAGUCCCCGAGCGAGUGUGCCAACUGCUGAGUGUGCUGGCCUCUGCGGCCCGCCCCGCGCCCGGCACCCUCCUGCCGUCCACCUCGGGGGGCUGCCUGGGUGCGGUCGUGUGUGGGAGGCCCCAACCCCCCCUCGCCUGGUCUGCAAGCCCCUGGCACGGAGUGACCUCAUGCAGCUCCGUGGUAGAGCCCCUCGCCUGUGCCCCUCCCCACCAGGGCUUCACCAGAAGCCUUGGCCUCAUCAAUAAAUACAGUUACAGCAAUUUGUCUCA